UGCUCGGUCGCUCGCGCCACUCGGGGUUGACAGACUUGGCUGGAAGGGAAAGGCGCGCCUUCAAUCUCUGGACCUAGGUGGGUUUUUGUUUUCUGAAGGGUGGGGGGUGUCUCCCCCAUUAUUAUUUUUGGAGCAUCCUGGAGUUGGAACUGCCUAUUAUUCAUCGUCAAGAAGUGUUCCAGUAAGAACGUCUAUCAGGUUAAUCUGUAAGCAUUAUCAAAAUGACCAUCACAACAAUAAUCAAAACAGUGCCCACACACCACUCUAGUGCCUUCUGGCUGAACAGGAAUUGCAGGCUGUGCUGGCUGCUCCUCUGGAAUCAACAUAACUGGACCAAGAUUAAUGAUUCGCCUACUGUAUGGAGAAAAGUAAACCCAUCAUGUCAUUGUAUACAGCACAGAAAAAAGGGGCUACAAGUGAAUUGUGUGUUCCUGGAGCUCCAACCUGACCUGCAAAGUCCAUCCAGACCCCGCAGAUAAUCAUGGACACAAGAGCAAAGCCUGUUUGGUCCUUUACCUUCUGGAGAAUUCGCUUGCCAACUUCAAAUGCAUUUGUGAAGAUUUGUCUACGGUGUAAAUCACAAGGAACAGAAAGCGGAGCAAUUGAUUAUAAUACAGCACCUUGCUAGGAAAAGUCAGACCAACCGUUCAGGAAGAUGCACAGGUCAACUAUAAGCCCUCUAUGCCAAUUCAAAGUUCUGUAUAGUGUCAGGUACACUGCCAAUGCUUAAUAAUUAUACGGACUACAUAUUUACCACAGAUUAAGGUCUAAAAUGAGGAACACCAUCAAUAAGCACAACACAAGGGCUUUCGGAAAGGAGAUGUUCUCACAAUGAACAGCUUUGAUGAGUCUUUGGCAGCUUCUGCUGAAGGUAUCAUGGGAUGUUAUAACUGCUUCUCCAGCAACUGACAUGAUAUCCACAUGAAUCGAACUAUAACUUAACUGGUAGCAUCCAACCCGAGAACAGAAAACUCAAGUUAUUUUCAUACAUCACUUGAAAGAUGCACUCUAGUUCUCCCCGUACAGAUUGGAGCUAAUUGUACCAGCAGAUAAAGAUAGGGAAACUUAACCUCUGUGCCCUCCUACCAACGUGUCACAGAUAGCCUCAAGCACAACAAAGUUUUGUGGCACCUUAAAAGACUAACAUGUUGACAUGGCAUAAGCUUUUGUGAGCUAUAGUUUACUUCAUCAGUCAAGCUUGCAAAAAUAUA